GUGAAAACCGCUAAAAGUGUUUUUAAUCAGACAGCGACGAUAAUUAUUUUUUUCUGUUUGACUGUGCUGGCGGGCCACAAGUAAUGCAAUUUAAGACAGAAGACGCGGGCCAUAUAAUAUCCGCGGGCCAGACUUUGGACAUGCCUGGUUUAAGUGCUUCGGUGAGGUGUUACUCUGGUAAAAUUCAUCUGCGUCGUAAAAUUCAUCCUCGCUGCUGGAGUAAGAAAAAUCUGGGACAUUGUGUGCAGGCACGUUUAUGUGACUGGGAGAAGUCACGCUGCUGCUGGGGGCGGAGGGACCACUCCCUAUAGGCCAAAAUGAAAAAGAAAAUAAGAUUAUUGGAUGUGCUAUACCUGUGCUGUUGGGAGUAGGCGUCUGAAGGCUGCCCAUCACCGUGACAACGGGACCCACGGGUAAAGAAGA